AUCUCCAAUGGACACAAAAGUAAUUUAACAUCUAUUUUUUAAGAUGGCAGACUAAUAGUCUUAAAUAAAACCUAUAUUUUUACAUUUUUGUUCCCAUUUUAUCCUCCUCUUCACCUGAAUCGUUCUUUAUAUCAUCAAUUUCUUCGUUUUUUUUUUAUCAUGGAGUGUGUAAUCGAUUUCCUAAUUGAUUGUCCAUUCAAUUUUCGCAUUGAAUGCAAUUGAAGACGUGGGUUGAAUCCCAUUUAACCCUUUCAUCCAUGGAAUUCUAGAACCCUUCAUAUGUACCACAUUUAUAUCAGUGACUUGAACUGUCCAUUAUCAAGCACAAAUCAUCGAUCUUUGAGAUGCUUAUUACUAGGGUUUAGAAUGUUCACCUGGCCGGAAAAUUAUGCCGCUGUUUCGCUGGCCACUGGUGUUGCUGCUUCGCCGCCGGUCUCACCAGGUUUCAAUGUAGGUGAAAGAGAUAUGGGUGGACAAAAAAAGUGUAGACAAUCCCCCCUUGUUGGAAAAUUAUCCGUUGAUUUGGCAUGUGGACUCAAGUAGAUAAUUGUGAAUUGGCGUCAGGUGGAAAUGAUAACAGGCUAAGUGAUUAAGCAACUAAUCUUCUUCAUCUCUUCAAGAUAUUAGUUUAACCUCUUAUUUUUAAAUCUUUUUUUUUGUUUUUACGUAGCUUUUUGUUUGUUGCCAACAAUCGACACAACUUGUUUUAGCUUAUUCCAAAGGCGAUUUUUUUUAAAACUUUGUAAGUUAUGGAUCCUUUUUCCCCAGUGAUACAAAUUGAGAGGUAUGAUGUGAUAUAUUCUGAUCAGAUAUGAUGGGAUGAGCACUUUCACCCGAACGGGCAUGGUGGGAAGGCGUAUAUGGAGAACGGUGGAAUCAGACCUGAGGCGAAGGUCACAACGGCUCUGGAUGGGUCCAAAAAUAUGGCAAUAGCAGCUGCGGGCAACACUGGGACACCAAUGUCCAACAAAGACAGCUGCUAUGAGAGAUUUCCUCAUUAUGGUUUCUAUCAUUGCUAUGGAAACUCCAUCCCCUUGCGUCAGGUCAACAAACCUUCUAAGAGAAAGGGUGGUUCCUUAUGGUGACCCCAAUGAUCCUCAUUAUAGAAAGAAUGCAUUUGAUGCAGGGGAAGAUGGUCUAGGUAAAAACGCCCAUUUUUUUAAAAAGGCAUGCCACUCUUUUGAGUCUCUUUCUGUUUAGCCUUUGGAUCCUAAUGACUUGAAGCCCUUAAUGUUCAGAUCUCUGUCUUUAGGACUAAGCUGCAGAAACAAUUAGAGGAAGCUAAAGUUUUUGUUGUCUGGUUUGGUACCCAAAUAUUGCCCUUUCCCAGUAAGGUUUGAUGUCGUUCAUUGUGCACAUUGUAGAGUCCCAUGGCACAUUGAAGGUGAUAAUUUCAAUUAAUGUGUUUUGGUGAGUUAAAAAUGAUUAAGUUAUGACCAGAAAAGAGAUUAAACAUGUAAUAUAUAUGUCUUUGGGUUAGGUAAUUUAAGUCAAAGGGUUGAAAUGGGUUAAUUAGAAAAACAAAUAAGGUAUCAACGGGUCGACACGGGUUGAGAAUUUUAAAGGAACGGGUCUUUAGGGUUCUUUAGGUAUCACCACGAGUUCAGAUGUUCGGUGAACAUCAUCAGCGAUUCAGACAACGGCAUCUUCAUCCUCUCCGGCCUCCGCCGUCUCCUCUGCCACAAACCCGCAACCGUCUCCUCCGCUGACUCGCUGACUCCACGCCGCCCGUCCGGACCAUUGAAGUGGUUAUUGUUUGUGUUUGUGUUUGAGGGAGCAGUAACCGUUUUUUGAUCGAAACGCAUCAGGAAUUGUCGAAUGGAGACGUGCGAAACCGGUCGAGGCCGCUUUCGGAGAAAAUGAAGCCUGGGUAGACUGUGGAACAAGCAGUUGUGAGAGCAGUUAAAGAAGAACUUGGAUCAAUAAUUGAGAAUGUUGAGAGUGAUACUGUGAGAAUUGUGGCGGAUUCGUAUACGAAUAACGUAGAGGAAAGAGUGUAUGUGUCAUAUCCGGGGUUGCCAGCUUGUUAUAUAUUGCAUUCAGUGGAUGCAUAUGUGGAUGGAUUGCCUAAGGGUGAGUGUUGGACUGAGGAAGGGGAUGAGUAUGAGGGUUUGGGUUUGGGUUUGGGUGAACGGUGCAAAUUGGCAGUUUGUUGCAAGAAGCAUUACUGGAAAUGGGUUGAUGAGGGUGAGGGUGAGGGUUCAGGUUUAGGUUUGUCUUGAGUUUUGCAGUUGUGGAGGUGAGUUUGAGUUAUCAUUUUUGUGUUUCUUGAUUUAUAUGUGUUUGUAAUAGUUACAGUCUUACAUAAGCUUUUUUGGCUUCAUAAAGGAUUAAAGGUUAAAACUUUAUGCUUUUUUGAACUUGGUUAUACUAUUUAAAUGAAGUCUUGAUGUUUUAAAGUA